GUCAGGAUGGCCGAGCGGUCUAAGGCGCUGCGUUCAGGAUUCUGUGGGCGUGGGUUCGAAUCCCACUUCUGACA